rnacentral:rRNA from 1 species
GACGAACGCGGCGGCGUGCCUAAUACAUGCAAGUAGAACGCUGAAGGAAGGAGCUUGCUCUUUUCCGGAUGAGUUGCGAACGGGUGAGUAACGCGUAGGUAACCUGCCUGGUAGCGGGGGAUAACUAUUGGAAACGAUAGCUAAUACCGCAUAACAGUAGAUAUCGCAUGAUAACUACUUGAAAGGUGCAAUUGCACCACUACCAGAUGGACCUGCGUUGUAUUAGCUAGUUGGUGAGGUAACGGCUCACCAAGGCAACGAUACAUAGCCGACCUGAGAGGGUGAUCGGCCACACUGGGACUGAGACACGGCCCAGACUCCUACGGGAGGCAGCAGUAGGGAAUCUUCGGCAAUGGACGGAAGUCUGACCGAGCAACGCCGCGUGAGUGAAGAAGGUUUUCGGAUCGUAAAGCUCUGUUGUAAGAGAAGAACGAGUGUGAGAGUGGAAAGUUCACACUGUGACGGUAUCUUACCAGAAAGGGACGGCUAACUACGUGCCAGCAGCCGCGGUAAUACGUAGGUCCCGAGCGUUGUCCGGAUUUAUUGGGCGUAAAGCGAGCGCAGGCGGUUAGAUAAGUCUGAAGUUAAAGGCUGUGGCUUAACCAUAGUACGCUUUGGAAACUGUUUAACUUGAGUGCAAGAGGGGAGAGUGGAAUUCCAUGUGUAGCGGUGAAAUGCGUAGAUAUAUGGAGGAACACCGGUGGCGAAAGCGGCUCUCUGGCUUGUAACUGACGCUGAGGCUCGAAAGCGUGGGGAGCAAACAGG